AAAUUAAACAUAUUAUAUAUGUAUCAAUAGAUUAGACUCUUGUCUUUUCAGUCAGCGUGGUCAUUUUCAAAAAGCCAUGUUGUAAAUACACAGCAGAGUAUACAACUGAAACCUUAACAAUCUGCUCUCUAUUUGAAGCAUUUUCAGAAGGUCUGUUCUUCUUCCUCACCUGAUUGACCAGGACUUCACCAAUGCUGCAGAUGAGGAAGCUGUUAUUGUUCUGUCCCUCAGCUGACGAAGCUCUCUUUUGCUCAAGCAGCAGGAGUUUUCAGGAACUUCUUAUCCACUGUACCACUCCAAGAAUCAGCUUCCAAAUCUUUGAUGUCACACUCAAACUCGCCCAUCAGCUG